GACGAACUGUGCAAACGUUAUUCGGAAUCACUGGGUUUAAAGGGUGCGUAGGUGGGUUGGUAAGUCAGUGGUGAAAUCUCCGAGCUUAACUUGGAAACUGCCGUUGAUACUAUCAAUCUUGAAUAUCGCGUAGGUAAGCGGAAUAUGUCAUGUAGCGGUGAAAUGCUUAGAUAUGACAUAGAACACCAAUUGCGAAGGCAGCUUACUUCACGAUCAUUGACACUGAGGCACGAAAGCGUGGGGAGCAAACAGG
rnacentral:rRNA from 1 species